AUACACAUAUAUUUAUAAUGUAGUAUAUAAUUACAUUUAUACAUAUGUAAUACAUAUAUAUUUAUCUUGCUGCACAAGAAAAAUCGGGUCAAGAAGGAAAAAAAACUGAGAAAGUAAACAAAAUGCAAGCAAAAUACAACAGAGAGAAUGAGAAUGCUAUGUUGUGGCCCACACUCAGCUCCCACAGUCCUCUCUUUAGGUGUGGAUGGCUCUCCUCAUCACUGAACAAUUGGAAUUGAUUUGAAUCAUCUCAUUAUUGAAGAGAGCCAAGUCCAUCAGAAUUAAUCAUUGAAUAGUCUUGUUGCCAUAUACAAUGAUCUCCUGGUUCUGCUCAUUUCACUUGGCAUCAGUUCAUGUCUCUCCAGGUCUCUCUGAAAUCAUCUUGCUGGUUGUUUCUUACAGAAUAAUAAUAUUCAAUAGCAUUCAUAUACCAUAAUUUAUUCAGCCGUUCUCCAAUUGCCACUACAAAAAGAGCUGCCACAAACAUUUUUGCAGAUGUUGUUCCUUUCCCUCUUUCAAGAUCACUGGGAUAUAAACUCAACAGAAAUACUGCUGGGUUAAAGGGAAUACACAUUUAUUUUUGGAAGACUUUGAAUUUCACAUCUUUUUUUUUUUUUUCUUUGCUACCUUGCCUUUCCUCUCCACAAGAUAGCAACUUUUUGAGCAUAGUUCCAAAUUGCUCUCCAGAAUGGUUGGAUCUGUUCACAAUUCCACCAACUUUAUCACUGUCCCAGUUUUCCCACAUCCCCUCCAACAUUCAUCAUCAUCUUUUCCUGUCAUUUUAGCCAAUCUGUCAGGUGUGUAGUGGUAUCUCAGAGUUGUUCUUAACUUGCAUUUCUCUGAUCAGUAGUGAUUGGAGCAGCUUUUCAUAUGACUAAAAAUGGUUUCAAUUUCUUCAUCUGAAAAUUGUCUGUUCAUAUCCUUUGACCAUUUAUCAAUUGGAGAAUGGCUUGAAUUCUUAUAAAGUUGAGUCAAUUCUCUAUAUAUUUUAGAAAUGAGGCCUUUAUCAGACCAAAAAAAGUUUCAUUCUGUACUUCUCCAAUAGCAUGUUUCAUUAUCAAUCCUUUAGAAUAGUGGUUUAGCAACUGCAUUGAUCAGAGUUCCUCAUUCUUUGAAAGUUAUUUAUCUUUACCAUAUUGUUACUGCAUAAAUUAUUCUCCUAAUUCUGUUCACUUCACUGUGCAUCAGUUCAUAAAAGACAUACCAGAUUUCUCUGAAACCAUCCCCUUUAUCAGUUCUUUUUAAAAAAACUUAUUUUAAAUUUAAAUAGGAAAAGAAAAAAAUUUCCAUAUGCACAGAAUAUAAAGAUUCAAAAUAUGAAACAAUGAAUGUCCAUUUCAAGAAAGAGUAUAAUAAACACUGUGCUCAGAGAUGUCCAUCUACAUGUCCCUGUAUAAAAGUUUAUCCUUAUUGAGUCCCUUAUAAUUUGUCUUUGAUGUUUACUUGACAUUUCUCUUGAAUGUUGUAUGUCAAAUUUUCUCUUAAGCUCAGGGUUUUUUUUGGCAACAAAAUCUUGAAAGUCUAAGUGUCCAUUAAAUGUCUUUUUUUUUUUUUUUUUUGAUUCAUGAUUAUGCUUCUGGAAAUAUUUUCAGUCACAACCUAAAUUCUUUUGCUCUUCAAUAUAUAGUAAUUCAAAACCUGUGACUUUUCAAUGGAGUUGCUGCUUAGUUCUUAUGUGACUCAAACUACUGUGGUUUUGCAAUAUUUGAAGUUUUUUUUUUUUUGGUGCUGCUUGUAAUAUUUUUUCCUUGACCUGGCUAUUUUGUUCCUAUAGAUAGAUUUUCUUUGUAGGAUCUCUUUCAGAUAUCAGUGGAUUUUUUCCCUAUUUCUACUUUCCCCUCCCUCUUAUUUUAACAUUUAGGGACAAUUAAAUUUUUUUUCUUGUUUUGCUGUUUCAAAAUUCUUUUAAUUGUAGCUUUCAGAAAAUUCUAUUAUUCUUAUGUUUUCUUUCCUUGAUCUGUUCUCCAGAGUUUUAUAUCUCACUUUCUCGUUCAUGUUUUCUAUUUUAUAUAUAUAUUGUUUUAUUAUUUUUUGGUAUCUUGUAACUUUGCUGGCUUCCUUUUGCCUAAUUCUAGUUUUCUUUUUUUUUAGUUUGAGCAUUUGUUUUUGGAAGAUUUUGAAUUUCAAAUCUUUUUUUUCUUUGCUACCUUGCCUUCCCUCUCCACAAGAUAGCAAGCAAUUUGAUAUACAUGUACAAACAUUUUAAGCACAUUUCUCUUUUAUCUUUUCCUAUCAUCUUAGUCAAUCUGAAAGGUGUAAGGUAGUACCUCAGAGUUGUCUUACUUUGCAUUUCUCUAAUCAAUAAUGAUUUAGAGCAUUUUUUUCACAUGACUACAGAUGGUUUUAAUUUCUUCAACUGAAAAUUGUUCAUAUCCUUUACUAUUUAUCAAUUGUGAGAAUGACUUGUAUUUCUUAUAAAUUUGACUCCACUGAUUGUUGUGUCUUAUUUAACCUAUUUCAUUGAUUUAUCACUCUAUUUCUUAGCCAGUACCAAAUAGUUUUGAUAAAUGUCACUUUAAAAUAUAUAGUUUUGGGUCUGGUACGGCUAGGCCACCUUCCUUUCUCCUUUCCCCUCUCCCCCUCCCCCCGCCUUGAUAAUCUUGACCUUUUAUUCUUUCAGAGGAAUUAUGUUAUUUUUUUUCUACCUCUACAAAAUAAUUUUUGGUAGUCUGACCGGUAUGGUACUUUACAAAUAGAUUGAUUUAGACAGUACUGUCAUUUUUAUUAUAUUAACUAGCCUUCUCAUGAGUAUUUGAUAGUUUCCCUAUUGUUUAGCUCUGACUUUAUUUUACAUUAUCUACAGUUAUUUUAUUUUUUUUUUGUUUAUUUAUUUAUUUAUUUAUUUUUAUAAUAACAUUUUAUUGACAGAACCCACGCCAGGGUAAUUUUUUUUUUACAACAUCAUCCCUUGCACUCACUUCUGUUCCUAUUUUUCCCCUCCCUCCCUCCACCCCCGCCCCUAGAUGGCAAGCAGUCCUAUAUAUGUUAAAUAUGUCGCAGUAUAUCCUAGGUACAAUAUAUGUUUGCAGAACCAAACAGUUCUCUUGUUGCACAGGGAGAAUUGGAUUCAGAAGGUAAAAAUAACCCGGGAAGAAAAACAAAAAUGCAAAUAGUUUACAUUCAUUUCCCAGUGUUCUUUCUUUGGGUGUAGCUGCUUCUGUCCAUCUUUGAUCAAUUGAAACUGAGUUAGGUCUCUUUGUCAAAGAAAUCUACUUCCAUCAGAAUACAUGCUCAUACAGUAUCGUUGUCGAAGUGUAUAAUGAUCUCCUGGUUCUGCUCAUUUCACUUAGCAUCAGUUCAUGUAAGUCUCGCCAGUCCUCUCUGUAUUCAUCCUGCUGGUCAUUUCCUACAGAGCAAUAAUAUUCCAUAAUAUUCAUAUACCACAAUUUACCCAGCCAUUCUCCAAUUGAUGGGCAUCCAUUCAAUUUCUAGUUUCUAGCCACUACAAACAGGGCUGCCACAAACAUUUUGGCACAUACAGGUCCCUUUCCCUUCUUUAGUAUCUCUUUGGGGUAUAAGCCCAAUAGAAACACUGCUGGAUCAAAGGGUAUGCACAGUUUGAUAACUUUUGGGGCAUAAUUCUAGAUUGCUCUCCAGAAUAGUUGGAUUCUUUCACAACUCCACCAACAAUGCAUCAGUGUCCCAGUUUUCCUGCAUCCCCUCCUGUUGGAAUCCUUACUAAUUGCUAACUAAUUAGAGUUGAUCUAAUCUUACAGGAAGAUUUUGGCCAGAACCUGAAACAAGGUACUAAGUAGAACUAAUUAAUACAAGGCUUGUGUUCACACCUUUACUCAUUGGAGUUCAAUGAGUUCACACCUCCCUUGAAGCUCUUUGGGCCAGAGAGCACUAUGGGAGAAAACCCAUAAUCCCUCUCUCUCGUAUCCCACAAUUCCUCCCUCUUGGAUAAAAGAAACAGACAGAGGCUCUUGGUCAGAUUUCAGUGGAGUUACGCCAGAAGCCCUCUUUCCGAGGCAAGGCAGAAUAUAUUCCACUUGGCUGGCUGGUGGCAGACGAAGAGUUUUCAGAGGAAGAAGCUAUGAGUGGAGAGUUCAGUGGACAACCAGAUUCAUCUUCAUCUCACACCACUGUAGCUGGUGGCUGGGCUCCUGCACGCCCCCCACUGAGACCAAGCUGGUCUGAAAGACUCACCAGAAAGCUAGCCGAGCCCCAAGUGAAGGAGACAAGAGAUUCAUUCCAUCUCUGUGUUGGUCGGAGGCUGAAGAAAGCAGAGGCAGAGGCUGAAGGACAGAACCUUUGGAUUUGGAGACAUCCGGAGGGCCCUAAGCUAAACCGGCUGUGUUUUGAGAAGAACAAGAACUCCAACAUUUGAACUCAUAACACCCUCCAACAUUCAUCAUUAUCUUUCCCUGUCAUUCUAGCAAUCUGACAGGUGUGUAGUGGUAUCUCAGAGUUGUCUUAAUUUGCAUUUCUCUGAUCAAUAGUGAUUUGGAACACUCAUAUGAGUGGUAAUAGUUUCAAUUUCAUCAUCUGAAAAUUGUCUGUUCAUAUCCUUUGACCAUUUAUCAAUUGGAGAAUGGCUUGAUUUCUUAUAAAUCUGAGUCAAUUCUCUAUGUAUUUUGGAAAUGAGGCCUUUAUCAGAACCUUUAACUGUGAAGAUGUUUUCCCAGUUUGUUGCUUCCCUUCUAAUCUUCUUUGCAUUAGUUUUGUUUGUACAAAGGCUU